UCCGGUGGCAAUAGCGGAGGGGAAACACCUGUUCCCAUUCCGAACACAGAAGUUAAGCCCUCCAGCGCCGAUGGUACUGCACUGGCAACGGUGCGGGAGAGUAGGUCGCUGCCGGAA
rnacentral:rRNA from 2 species